UACCAGCUCCCUGAGUGGUAAGGACGAUUAUUGGGCCUAAAGCGUCCGUAGCCGGCUUGAUAAAUUUCCCGUUAAAUCCGGCGAUCCAAUCGUCGGGCUGCGGGAAAUACUGUUAAGCUUGGAGGCGGGAGAGGCCGGCGGUACUUUUGGGGUAGGGGUGAAAUCCUAUAAUCCCAAGAGGACCACCAGUGGCGAAGGCGGCCGGCCAGAACGCACUCGACGGUGAGGGGCGAAAGCUGGGGGAGCAAACCGGAUUAGAUACCCGGGUAGUCCCAGCUGUAAACGAUGCGGGCUAAGUGUCGGGAUGGUCAUAGUGCCACUCCGGUGCUGCAGGGAAGCCGUUAAGCCCGCCGCCUGGGGAGUACGGCCGCAAGGUUGAAACUUAAAGGAAUUGGCGGGGGAGCACCACAAGGGGUGAAGCUUGCGGUUC
rnacentral:rRNA from 1 species